AUUUAUUUGUGUUCCAAAAAUUAGCAGAGUUUGUAUGGGUCUGGAACAACACAGGGGAGAGUAAAUUAUGACCAUUUUCAUUUUUUGGUGGACUAACCCUUUGAAGAGCAGCCCUCCACGUACAUGAAAAUGUGUGAGGACAGAGAAAUGAAUAAAAUUAGCAUACAGCACCCGAGGGACAUAUGGGAAGCAGGGAGAGAACAAGGAAGGAAGGGGCUGCUGGAGAAAUGGAAAACAACUUUAAUGUGGAUGAGUAAUCAAUGGCCCUGUUUGUACCCAGUACAAAAGGUUUGGAAGUUCAGUCAUAAUUUACUCACUCUCAUGUCGUUCCAAACCCGUAUGGCUUUCUUUCUGUGUAGAACACAAAAUGAGAUGUUUUGAAGAACAUUCAAGCUGCUGUUUUCCACGCAUUGAAGUUAACAGUGAUUUUUUUUUUUUUUUUAAUUAGGAAUUUGUUUGCAUCUUUUAUUCAUUCGUGGACACAUUUAUUUAUUUAUUUUUUUAAACACUGCCAUGGUAGAUCUGUUCACUUAUAUAAAUUAAGUUAAACUGUGGCCAUGUCAUAGGAAUGGCAUCUUAAUUUGUGGCCACUUUAUCCACUUUAAAGUACUGUAUAAUGAUCACCAAAAUAUUUUAUUCUUGGAAUUCUGACUAUUCCCAAAAUAUUUUAUUCUUGGAAUUCUGACUA